rnacentral:tRNA from 1 species
UGGCUCAGUGGUGAGAGCACUGACUGCUAUUCCAGAGGUCCUGAGUUCAAUUCCCAG